rnacentral:rRNA from 1 species
CCUACGGGUGGCAGCAGUAGGGAAUAUUGCUCAAUGGGGGAAACCCUGAAGCAGCAACGCCGCGUGGAGGAUGAAGGUUUUAGGAUUGUAAACUCCUUUUGUUAGAGAAGAUUAUGACGGUAUCUAACGAAUAAGCACCGCCUAACUCCGUGCCAGCAGCCGCGGUAAUACGGAGGGUGCAAGCGUUACUCGGAAUCACUGGGCGUAAAGAGUGCGUAGGCGGGGUAAGAAGUCAGAUGUGAAAGCCGGUAGCUUAACUACAGAACUGCAUUUGAAACUGUUACUCUGGAGUGUGGGAGAGGUAAGCGGAAUUCUUGGUGUAGGGGUGAAAUGCGUAGAGAUCAAGAGGAAUACUCGUGGCGAAGGCGAGCUGCUGGAACAUUACUGACGCUGAGGCACGAAAGCGUGGGGAGCAAACAGGAUUAGAUACCCCAGUAGUC